AGGGAAUCUUCCACAAUGGGCGAAAGCCUGAUGGAGCAACGCCGCGUGGGUGAAGAAGGUCUUCGGAUCGUAAAACCCUGUUGUUAGAGAAGAAAGUGCGUGAGAGUAACUGUUCACGUUUCGACGGUAUCUAACCAGAAAGCCACGGCUAACUACGUGCCAGCAGCCGCGGUAAUACGUAGGUGGCAAGCGUUAUCCGGAUUUAUUGGGCGUAAAGGGAACGCAGGCGGUCUUUUAAGUCUGAUGUGAAAGCCUUCGGCUUAACCGGAGUAGUGCAUUGGAAACUGGGAGACUUGAGUGCAGAAGAGGAGAGUGGAACUCCAUGUGUAGCGGUGAAAUGCGUAGAUAUAUGGAAGAACACCAGUGGCGAAAGCGGCUCUCUGGUCUGUAACUGACGCUGAGGUUCGAAAGCGUGGGUAGCAAA
rnacentral:rRNA from 1 species